UAGGGAAUCUUCCGCAAUGGGCGAAAGCCUGACGGAGCAACGCCGCGUGAGUGAUGAAGGUUUUCGGAUCGUAAAGCUCUGUUGCCAGGGAAGAACGUCUUGUAGAGUAACUGCUACAAGAGUGACGGUACCUGAGAAGAAAGCCCCGGCUAACUACGUGCCAGCAGCCGCGGUAAUACGUAGGGGGCAAGCGUUGUCCGGAAUUAUUGGGCGUAAAGCGCGUGCAGGCGGUCCUGUAAGUCUGGUGUAUAAUCCCGGGGCUCAACCCCGGAUCGCACUGGAAACUGCAGGACUUGAGUACAGAAGAGGAGAGUGGAAUUCCACGUGUAGCGGUGAAAUGCGUAGAUAUGUGGAGGAACACCAGUGGCGAAGGCGACUCUCUGGGCUGUAACUGACGCUGAGGCGCGAAAGCGUGGGGAGCAAACAGG
rnacentral:rRNA from 1 species